UUGUGGCCAAGUUAAUCCAGUGCAGACCAGAAGGAACCCGAGCCACUGAUCGGGUGGAAUUCCUGUGUCCCUGGAGUCUGCUGGUCCUAGUUACUCCCAGUGGUGUUGGAACAGAUGUUGUUGUGUCCUACUCACCCCUGAACCUAAUAUCCUGGGUGUGCUAGAGCACCUGGGAGAGGAGCCUCCUAUGGGAGCUGUGAGACUGGCUGCAGAGUUUGAGCCCAAGGAAGAAUCACAGCUCUUCAUGUGUCCAAGAGAUCAAGUAUAUUCUUCUUUCUUACCUUCAAGACAAUAAGAAGAAACCUUCCAAAGGCAAUGCAUCUGAUUGCUGCAAGCUGCUGCUGUGACUUCCCAUCACCAUGGAUUGUAACCUGGAACUGUGAACUGGCAGCAGAAGGUUGAAGAAAGUACCUCUUGAUCCACACAAGUUCACUGCCAGGAAUACAUG